AAAGUCGUAACAAGGUCUCCGUUGGUGAACCAGCGGAGGGAUCAUUACUGAGUGCAAACUCUCCAACCAUUGUGUAUCUAUUUAUUUAGAACUUCUCCGGUAGGCAGUCCCAGGGCGGGACUGAGCCUAGGCGUCUGCCCAAGCACCUGCCGAGAAGAACUAUUGCUCUUUAUUAUACUAUCUGAGGAACUAAAAAAAAAUAUCAAAAUUUUCAAUUGUGGAUCUCUUGGUUCUG
rnacentral:misc_RNA from 1 species